rnacentral:snRNA from 1 species
GUGGAGUUGGACCUCCCAUACGGACUAAUUUCUUGCCUUUUACCAGAGAUUACCGUGGGCUGGCCAAGUUUACUCCAAUACCACAAUCUUUGGAAACCCUUGUU